AGAGUUUGAUCCUGGCUCAGAGCGAACGCUGGCGGCAGGCUUAACACAUGCAAGUCGAGCGGGCGUAGCAAUACGUCAGCGGCAGACGGGUGAGUAACGCGUGGGAACGUACCUUUUGGUUCGGAACAACACAGGGAAACUUGUGCUAAUACCGGAUAAGCCCUUACGGGGAAAGAUUUAUCGCCGAAAGAUCGGCCCGCGUCUGAUUAGCUAGUUGGUGUGGUAACGGCGCACCAAGGCGACGAUCAGUAGCUGGUCUGAGAGGAUGAUCAGCCACAUUGGGACUGAGACACGGCCCAAACUCCUACGGGAGGCAGCAGUGGGGAAUAUUGGACAAUGGGCGCAAGCCUGAUCCAGCCAUGCCGCGUGAGUGAUGAAGGCCCUAGGGUUGUAAAGCUCUUUUGUGCGGGAAGAUAAUGACGGUACCGCAGGAAUAAGCCCCGGCUAACUUCGUGCCAGCAGCCGCGGUAAUACGAAGGGGGCUAGCGUUGCUCGGAAUCACUGGGCGUAAAGGGUGCGUAGGCGGGUCUUUAAGUCAGGGGUGAAAUCCUGGAGCUCAACUCCAGAACUGCCUUUGAUACUGAGGAUCUUGAGUUCGGGAGAGGUGAGUGGAACUGCGAGUGUAGAGGUGAAAUUCGUAGAUAUUCGCAAGAACACCAGUGGCGAAGGCGGCUCACUGGCCCGAUACUGACGCUGAGGCACGAAAGCGUGGGGAGCAAACAGGAUUAGAUACCCUGGUAGUCC
rnacentral:rRNA from 1 species